rnacentral:rRNA from 1 species
UACGGGGGGGGGCAAGCGUUGUUCGGAAUUACUGGGCGUAAAGGGCGCGUAGGCGGCCUGCUAAGUCGGAUGUGAAAUCCCUCGGCUCAACCGAGGAACUGCGUCCGAAACUGGCAGGCUUGAAUUCGGGAGAGGGAUGCGGAAUUCCAGGUGUAGCGGUGAAAUGCGCAGAUAUCGGGAGGAACACCAAUGGCGAAGGCAGCUCGCUGGGACGGUACUGACGCUGAGGAGCGAAAGCGUGGGGAGCGAACAGG